rnacentral:rRNA from 1 species
GUUGAACGGCCACAUUGGGACUGAGACACGGCCCAGACUCCUACGGGAGGCAGCAGUGGGGAAUAUUGCACAAUGGGGGAAACCCUGAUGCAGCGACGCCGCGUGGAGGAAGAAGGUCUUCGGAUUGUAAACUCCUGUUGUUGAGGAAGAUAAUGACGGUACUCAACAAGGAAGUGACGGCUAACUACGUGCCAGCAGCCGCGGUAAAACGUAGGUCACAAGCGUUGUCCGGAAUUACUGGGUGUAAAGGGAGCGCAGGCGGGAAGACAAGUUGGAAGUGAAAUCCAUGGGCUCAACCCAUGAACUGCUUUCAAGACUGUUUUUCUUGAGUAGUGCAGAGGUAGGCGGAAUUCCCGGUGUAGCGGUGGAAUGCGUAGAUAUCGGGAGGAACACCAGUGGCGAAGGCGGCCUACUGGGCACCAACUGACGCUGAGGCUCGAAAGUGUGGGUAGCAAACAGGAUUAGAUACCCUGGUAGUCCACACCGUAAACGAUGAUUACUAGGUGUUGGAGGAUUGACCCCUUCAGUGCCGCAGUUAACACAAUAAGUAAUCCACCUGGGGAGUACGACCGCAAGGUUGAAACUCAAAGGAAUUGACGGGGGCCCGCACAAGCAGUGGAGUAUGUGGUUUAAUUCGACGCAACGCGAAGAACCUUACCAAGUCUUGACAUCCUGCGACGGACAUAGAAAUAUGUCUUUCCUUCGGGACGCAGAGACAGGUGGUGCAUGGUUGUCGUCAGCUCGUGUCGUGAGAUGUUGGGUUAAGUCCCGCAACGAGCGCAACCCUUAUGGUCAGUUACUACGCAAGAGGACUCUGGCCAGACUGCCGUUGACAAAACGGAGGAAGGUGGGGAUGACGUCAAAUCAUCAUGCCCUUUAUGACUUGGGCUACACACGUACUACAAUGGCGUUAAACAAAGAGAAGCAAGACCGCGAGGUGGAGCAAAACUCAGAAACAACGUCCCAGUUCGGACUGCAGGCUGCAACUCGCCUGCACGAAGUCGGAAUUGCUAGUAAUCGUGGAUCAGCAUGCCACGGUGAAUACGUUCCCGGGCCUUGUACACACCGCCCGUCACACCAUGAGAGCCGGGGGGACCCGAAGUCGGUAGUCUAACCGUAAGGAGGACGCCGCCGAAGGUAAAACUGGUGAUUGGGGUGAAGUCGUAACAAGGUAGCCGUAGGAGAACCUGCGGCUG